rnacentral:rRNA from 1 species
AGGACGAACGCUGGCGGCGUGCCUAACACAUGCAAGUGGAGCGACGAACCAGGCUUCGGCCUGGGGCAGAGCCGCGAACGGGUGAGUAACACGUGGGUAACCUGCCCUGAUGAUUGGGACAACCCGAGGAAACUCGGGCUAAUACCAAAUGUGCCCUCCGGCCUCAAGGCCUGUGGGGAAAGGAAGCUUCGGCCUCCGCAUCGGGAUGGGCCCGCGGCCCAUUAGCUUGUUGGUGAGGUAAUGGCUCACCAAGGCUACGAUGGGUAGCUGGUCUGAGAGGACGAUCAGCCACACUGGGACUGAGACACGGCCCAGACUCCUACGGGAGGCAGCAGUGGGGAAUCUUGCGCAAUGCGCGAAAGCGUGACGCAGCAACGCCGCGUGGGGGAAGAAGGCCUUCGGGUUGUAAACCACUGUCGAAGGGGGCGAUAAUGACGGUACCCUUGGAGGAAGCCCCGGCUAACUACGUGCCAGCAGCCGC